rnacentral:lncRNA from 1 species
CGCAUUAAAGAAAUUGAAUCAUUGUUAUGCACUGGGUCUGCAGGUGUUUACAUAUUGGGGAUUUGGGGCAUCGGUGGUAUAGGCAAGACAACAAUUGCUGAUGCUAUUUUUAACAAAAUCUCUAGACGUUUUGAAGGUUCUUACUUUGUGCAUAAUGUUAGAGAUGCAGAAGAAACGGACAGAAUAAAGGACUUACAAAAGC